AUCGCUUCUCGGCCUUUUGGCUAAGAUCAAGUGUAGUAUCUGUUCUUAUCAGUUUAAAUGUGAAUAAUCACCUUGUCACUAUAGCCAAUAGUUGAGAGAAGAAACUUUCUGGAGGAAAAAAAAAAAACUAUUAUUUUUCACUUCUCACUUUUC
rnacentral:snRNA from 1 species